rnacentral:lncRNA from 1 species
GCAUAGACGCCUAUUUAUAUGAAAACCAAAUAACUUUAAAACUAUUAAAAAUCCUUAAGAUAAUUAUAACUAAUUAAGAUAAUCACCAUAAUAAAUAAUAAUCUAGAUAUAUCCAAAUAUCUCUCUCCAUCAUUCUCUCCGGGUUGGAAAGAUUCGUCCUCGAAUCUUAACCGUAGUCUUCAAUUAACUUUCUUCUUCUACUCCAUAUGUAAAAUUCUUCAAGCCAUUGAAUAUAUUGAUCCUUUGUGUUAAACCCUUUUGUUUGCCAAGAAACUAUUACAGCACGUGACAUAAUCAAUUGCCUCCUUCCC